GAUGAACGCUGGCGGUGUGCCUAAUACAUGCAAGUCGAACGGGAUCUUCGGAUCUAGUGGCGAACGGGUGAGUAACACGUUGGUACCUACCCCUAAGUGGGGAAGUAACUGCCCGAAAGGGUGGCUAAUACCGCAUAAUCCCGCAAGGGUAAAGCAGUAAUGCGCUUAGGGAGGGGCCUGCGUCUGAUUAGCUUGUUGGUGAGGUAAUGGCUCACCAAGGCGACGAUCAGUAGCUGGUCNGAGAGGAUGAUCAGCCACAUUGGGACUGAGACACGGCCCAAACUCCUACGGGAGGCAGCAGUGGGGAAUAUUUGGACAACUGGGCGCAAGCCUGAUCCAGCCAUGCCGCGUGAGUGAUGAAGGCCCUAGGGUUGUAAAGCUCUUUUACCCGGGAAGAUAAUGACUGUACCGGGAGAAUAA
rnacentral:rRNA from 1 species